rnacentral:lncRNA from 1 species
CCUCUAGGGUUUCUAGUUUGGAGUUUGGGGAUGAUAAUUCGACUACUGUGGUGGAUUUCUAUUUCUGAAUGUUGUUGUAAGAGUUGGGCUUUCUUACUAGAUUGACUAUGAGUUUUGAUUGUAGUGUUUUCUAAGUUCUUACCGUUAAGCCUUAGCAACUGGAAUUUUUGACAAUUUUUUUGAGAUUUAAUAUGUUGGAUUAUGGAUUUUAGUACGACCAGACUUGAAAUACAAUUUGGAUUUGAAUUUGAUUACUGCAAAUCUGUUUGGAGAAGUUGCUUAGUUCAGAUAAAGUAAUUAGUUGCUUGGUUUAGAUAAAGUAAUUAACUUACAUAUAUUGCCUUCAUUGCAUAGUUAAAACUUUAUCAAGGAGUUGUAUAUGGUUUAAUUUUAAAUGAACUCAUGGGAAAUGGUGCUCUGAUUAGGUUUGCUACUGAAAUAUGUGGCCACUGAUGUCAAUAUAGGAGGUUCUUUUGUUUCUUAAAUAAUACAUGAGGAUUUUCUUUAUUGCUUUAAUUAAUUAGUGGCCUUUCUAUGUGAGGAAGAGAUUAGGAAAGUCGGCAUCUGAUGGAUCAGAAAAGUCAAAAAGCUGAGGAUUCUCUUUUGCUUUAAUAAUUAGAUUGUUUUUUUGUGGGAGGAAAAGAUAAGAGAUGUUGGCAUUAAAGAUGAAGAUCUUCUUUUGCUUUAAUUAUAGCUUGGUUUGCAGGUGCACAUGUAUGGCUGGUCUUUGCUUUAUUAAUCAUUUUAUUUUUUGAACAAGCUUUAAUCAUAUAAUUUUUAAGGGUCUGCUAUUCAUUUAUAUAAGUUGCUUAGAGGUAUUUGGAAGCUUUGGAAGGAGUAGGACAAGGUCUGCUAUUGAUUUUGUUUUGGUAGAGAAUUUGAUUCUAUCCCUUUCCCCGAAAGGGCCAUGUCAUUGGCAUUUGAUAUCCUCAAUGACCUUGUGGAGGUUAGUGAAGAAUUGCCGCCAUGA